rnacentral:rRNA from 1 species
AUGGUGGAGAAACACGUGGUUGUGAUAUGCGCCGCCGUGAGCGCCCUGGCUCUCGCAGCAGCCGUGCUGGGGAUCAUCGGCGAGGCAACCAAAUCCAGGUCCUUUGUCAGGUACAACGGGGUGAACUGCGUCUACCGGAGGACGCCGGCGUUCGACUGCGGGAUCGCGGCGGCCGCGUCGCUGCUCAUCAGCCAGGCCAUCCUCACGGUGGCCACCGGCUGCUGGGACGGAUGCCGGCAGAGGCGCUCGUCGUCCGAUCAUCGGCGCGUCGGUGACUACAUCGCUUCGAUACUCUCAUGGUUUCUCACGAUCCUGUCGACGUGCGCCUUCCUCGCCGGAGCUCUCAGGAACGAUAGCGCGGAGCGGCGACCAAAGGAGGGCGUCGCCUCUUACUACCAGUGCACCGUCCUCGUGGCCGGGGUGUUCGCCGGCGCCUCGUUCUUCUCGCUCGCCGCGGCCGCCGUCGGGAUCACCUCCUACGUGGCCAUUGAAGGAGCGGCGAGCUCUGUGGUGUCACCGUCGGCGGAGCUCCGGGUAGUGUUGGGGCAGCCCCAGCAGCUAUAA